rnacentral:rRNA from 1 species
GACGAACGCUGGCGGCGUGCUUAACACAUGCAAGUCGAACGGUGAACGAGGGAGCUUGCUCCCUCCGGAUCAGUGGCGAACGGGUGAGUAACACGUGAGCAAUCUGCCCCGAACUCUGGGAUAAGCGUUGGAAACGACGUCUAAUACCGGAUACGACGCGGGAGGGCAUCCUCUCCGCGUGGAAAGAACUUCGGUUCGGGAUGAGCUCGCGGCCUAUCAGCUUGUUGGUGAGGUAACGGCUCACCAAGGCGACGACGGGUAGCCGGCCUGAGAGGGUGACCGGCCACACUGGGACUGAGAAACGGCCCAGACUCAUACGGGAGGCAGCAGUGGGGAAUAUUGCACAAUGGGCGCAAGCCUGAUGCAGCAACGCCGCGUGAGGGACGACGGCCUUCGGGUUGUAAACCUCUUUUAGCAGGGAAGAAGCGAAAGUGACGGUACCUGCAGAAAAAGCACCGGCUAACUACGUG